UCAGGUGAUCCACCUGCCUCAGCCUCCCAAAGUGCUGGGAUUACAGGCGUAAGCCACCGUGCCUGGCCCAAUUUAGUGAAACUUUUUUACUACAAAUCAUUUUCUAUAGAUGCUUCAUAGCACUUCCUUUAAAAAGAAACUGGACACAUUAAUUUUUUUAACUAAACAUCUGAUCCUUUUCCUUGUCAUGUCAGCCCUAUUUUGAGCUCUUAAUGUCAUUUACAUUCUCAAUGUGAAAAAUGACAUCAAAAAUAAGAUAACGCUUUAUAUAGACUGACUUUGCCUGCUUUUUAAUGAAAAACAUCUACUAAACCACCAUUUCUCAUUCUGUUCUCCCAGUCUCAUCAACGUUGUAAAUUCAUGCAAGCCAAAGGAGCUUAUUCUGCCAACGUGAUCUGCAGGCUAAGCACAAGGUGACAUGAUUUAGCUAUAGAAGACAAGCCAAUGAUUUGUCUUCCCAGUGCAUUAAUAUCCCAAAAGUAUAUUGCUUGACUCUGGUAGAAUGCCAGUUCAUAGUAGAUACUGAGAGUAUAAAUUUAUUCAAUUAGGCAAGGAAUGUCUGCAGCUUCUUUCAGAUUCCACUGCAAACAUAUCAACAAACAUUGCUUUUACUAGUUUUUUAUUUGUUUGUUUGUUUUGCCACUGGUGGUUUAGGUAUAUUCCUGCCUGGAGAAUAAAGCCAAGGCUCUUGGGAGCAAGAACCAUAAAUUGGUUCUAUUUUAUUCAUAUUUUACAGCUCAAUAUGGAACAUACAUUGGGUGUAUGACUAGUGACAUCUGGAAGUUUAUUCUAACACAUAAUGUUUAAAUAUGGAAUACAUUUUUAAUUUUUUAAGUUAAGAAGAUAAAAUCAAAGAAAUAUUGUUUCAAAAGAGGUCCACAGACAUAUGGUUUAUAAAAACACCUAUUUUACAUAGCUUAAGCAUUCAUCAGAAAAGAAACAACCCAAAUAACCAAUUGAAAGCCGUUAUUUUCAAUGGCAAAACCAUUUAUUAAACCACAAUUACUUUUGCAUCAACCUAAUACUUUCGCCCAUCAAGUAACUGGCAUACUGCAUGCUGUUAAGUAUAGCCAAAAAAUAAAGAAAUUUGACAUACUCAUUAGCUUGUCAAGCUUUAAUACGACAUCAUUUUGAUUCUUUAAAUAUUUGAGAGACAGACUUCUUUCAAAAUCUGAGGACAAUGGGAGAAAAAUAAGCCAAAGGAUUCCUUAGUUGUGAAAAUGUUGGGCCCUAGUAGCAUAAAAGACAGACAGAAGACUAUAUCGAACUUAAAAACUUCCAUGUGUCAAAGAAAACAGUGAAAAAGCAACCUAUGAAAUGGAAAAGAACAUUCAAAAAUCAUCUGAUAAGAGAUUAGCAUCCAGAAUAUAUGAGAAACUUUGAGAACAUCACCAGAUAAAUGCAAAUCAAAACCACAAUGAGAUAUCACCUCACAGCCAUUAGAAUGGCCACUAUUAAACAGAAGAUAACUGUUGGCAAAGAUAUGGAGAAAUUAGAACCCCUGUGCACCAACAGUGGGAAUGUAAAACGGGGCAAACAUUGUGAAACAGUAUGGCAGUUCCACAAAAAAUUAAAAAUAGAAUUAUCAUAUGAUCCAGCAAUCCAAAUUCUGAAUUAUAUAUCUAAAAAAUUUCAAAGCAGAAUGUCAAAGAGAUAUUUGCACAUCCAUGUUCUUUGCAGCACUAUUCACAGUAGCCAAGUGGUGGAAGCAACCCAAAUGUCUACCAACAGAUGAGUGGGUCAUGAAAGUGUGGUAUAUAUGCACAAUGAAAUAUUAUACAGCCUUAAAAAGAAGAUAAUCCUGUCAUACAUGCUACAACACAGAUGAACCCUGAAUACAUUAUGCUAAGCAAAAUAAGCCAGUCACAAAAGGGCAAAUACUGUAUAACUCCACUCAUAUGAGGUAUCUAGAAUAGUCAAAAUGAUAGAAACAGAAAGCAAAAACAGUGGUUGCCAAAGGCUGUGGAAUUAGUGUUUAAUGAGUAGUUUCAGAGCUGCAAGUUAUAAAAGUUCUAGAGAUCUGUUGUAUAACAAUGUGAAUACACUUAAUAUUACUGCAUUGUACACUUAAACAUGGUUAAGAUGGUAAAUUUUUUUAAAGUUUUUACCAGUUAUUUAAAAAUAGGAAAGCAUUACUGAACAGCAUCACAAGCAUUUGUAGAGCAUGAACAUACAUACAAGGCUCUACCAAUAGCGCUGGGGACAGGGGAGCCUUUAUUCCCCACUUCUCAUAUUCCAUUCCAUGUGGAAGGACACCUAUCUAUUCAUGUAACUACCCUGACCUCCGGUGUGUCCCUUAUUGAUGUAAUUAAAUGAUUAUUUGGGCAGAGGAACCUUAACAUGUGAAACUCAGCAUGACUCUUCCUCUUCAUUGAGGUCUUCACCUAGAAAGCAAUGCUCUGUUUUGCUCUCAGCCAUGUGGAUGGAAGCUCAGCAAUGAAGGCUACCCUUGUGGGAGGCCUGGGUUUCUCUGGUGCUGCCUACACUGGGGAGCCAAAGCCUCUGUAUCUGUGGGGUUCACAACUGAAAAGCCUGCUGUGGCUGUACACCUAGGCCACAUCCCUCACUCUAGCCUGUAUAAUAGUAAUACUUUUACCUCUACCUGUUCAGCUCCUUUCUCUCAAGGGAUUCAGCACUCAAUCCCCAAGAAACAGCAAAGUCCCUAUCGUCAUAGCAUCUACAUUUUAAGGGAGAGUAAUCAUAUGGUUGGCUUCUCUAGCUGUAAACAGCUCCUGACCAGAAUCUUAUUUUGGGUGUGUGAACCUUCAGGUUCCAGAAAUAUAAUCAAUAUUUGCAUUUCUACAACAAAAUUUCCACAGCCUCUACCAAGUUCCAGACAUAUAUGACCUUCAAGAUACUGCCCUCCGAUGGAAAACUCCAACUUUCAGUUGAUACAAAAUCAUGAACAAAACUGUGACAGUCAUUACAGGUUUUUUAAAGUUAUGUUUCAUGUGAUUAAAAAUCAUAUUUUUUCCACUUUUUUAUUAUGGCUAAUAACACUAUGAUAUAUAUGAAAAAGUCUUAGUAAUUCUUUUUUUUAACAGUGCCCAAAUAUUUCACUAUCAUUCUUUUUUGAUAUCCUAAAACCAAAAUUUUGUCACGUCCUGUUAUCUGAUGCUGUCAUAUUUAGUCUUUUACUUUGGAAUUCCCAGUAUUUUCCCAACCAGCUAAUAUCCACAUAAUGUAGCUUUUGCCCAUUCACUUGCCCAUAUCCUUAGGGAUACAGGACUUUUACCAACACAUUUUAAAUUGUUUUGCACUAGGAUUUUACCUUUUUUUCUUUAUGAGGCAACACUGGCCAAUCAUUCCCUUCUAGAAUGUUGACUGCCAGUUGAAGGCUGAGUUCUAGGGACUUUUCUCAAACAGAACUUGAGCAACUAGUGUAUAGUCACAUAUGGAGUACAAUGCUAGCUAUGCAGUGAUAACCACAGGGAAUAUUUUCUAAAUUAGGACAUGGAAUGUCUUCUGAAUUGUCAAGAAAGAAAUGCUAUCUUCAAUGUACUUUUGUAAUUAAAUGUAUCCUUAUUGAUAAUCCAGGACAACAUUGACAUACAAAUUAACAUUUCAUCUCAACAUCCUAAUUUGGAGAAAACAAGAUUACAUAUCCCUGUGAAAAGAAGAGAUGGUACUGAAAUUGAGAGGGUCUACAGAGAUAUUUUCCAUUGGAACAGCACCUUUUAUUGGAAAACAAAGCAAGAACAGUAAAAACUCAUAUUUUCAUUCCUUAUUUACCCACAUGAAUAAAAAAAGAACUAGAUAACCAGGUCUUCCUUUGUACAUUCUCUUUUGCUGCAAAAAAAAACU
rnacentral:lncRNA from 1 species